UACAGAGGUGCCAAGCGUUAGGCGGAAUCACUGGGCUUAAAGCGCGUGUAGGUGGACGGGUAAGUAUCUUGUGAAAUCCCACGGCUCAACCGUGGAACGGCUGGGCAUACUGGGAGUCUUGGGCCAUUCAGGGGCAACUGGAACAAGCGGUGGAGCGGUGAAAUGCGUAGAUAUCGCUUGGAACGCCGAAGGUGAAAACAGGUUGCUGGGGAUGUGCCGACGCUGAGACACGAAAGCCAGGGGAGCAAACAGG
rnacentral:rRNA from 1 species